rnacentral:lncRNA from 1 species
CCGUUAGUUUUCUCGUUUGAAUUGUUUUACAUUGUCUUAUCGGGGCCUUUUAUAGCUCACUAUGCGGUAUGGGCUUUGCUCAUUGUUGAAGGCCGUACGGUGACCUAUAGUUGUUAAUGUCUGUGUCAUUUUGGUCUUUUGUGGAUAGUUGUCUCAUUGGCAAUCAUACCACAUCUUCUUUUUAUAUAUUGGAUUUAAAUAAUAAUAUUCCUUUAUCCUUUAUCUAAUUAUAGAAUCAUUAGAUGGUGGCACAAGCCUUCAGCUUCCAACUUUGAUUGAAUGGAACAUACCGAACAUCAGAGGGGAGAUCCCAUCUCCAGCUGUAGUACGGCAUCACGAUCACCUCCGGGAAAUCGCAGAUUACAUACCUGAAAUUGAUGACACCGUUUCUAUCUUAAUAUUGAUUGGUCGUGACUUACCAGAAGCACAUCAUGUGAUAGAGCAGCUUACAGGUCAUAUUUACUCUCCAUACGCACAGAAACUAGGUUGGGUGAUAGUUGGUGAAACAUGUCUUAACCAGUUUCAUCGUCCUUCUACAGUUAUCGUCAAUAAAACUUACCUGUUACGUAACGGUAGAUCUUCAAUUUGUAAGGCGUGUCCAAAUAAUUUUGAAAUUAAGGAGAACUUAUCAGCAGAUCCAUUUGACACAAAUUGUUACCUCUCCGAGUCAGAGUCGGAAACAUUCGCAAGGACGAAUGAUGAUGAUACCAUUGGAAUGUCAAUUGAAGAUAAGGAAUUUCUACAAAUUAUGGAUCAAACCGUUUCUAAAGAUGCACAAGGUUAUUUGGGAAGCACCCCUACCUUUUCGAUCUCCGAAGCCGAAACUUCCAAAUAAUCGACUUCAAGUACUGCGACGAGCAAAGUCCUUUGAUUUUACCCUUCGAAAGAAUGAUGUUGAAAGAGAACACCUUUUAGCAUUCUUGCAAAAGAUCUUCGACAACACCCAUGCUGAAAUCGCGCCUGCUUUGUCAGAUGGAGAGGAAAGCUGGUACUUACCUAUUUUCGGGCUAAACCAUCUGAAGAAACCCACACACAUCAGAGUAGUUUUCCAUUCAUCGGCCAAAUAUGACAAUACUUCAUUGAACGAUGUCCUCAUUACUGGUCCCGAUUUAACUAACAGUCUUGUGGGUGUUCUGUUACGUUUCCGCAAAUAUCUUGUCGCUAUCACCGCUGAUAUCCAGCAGAUGUUCUAUUGCUUAAUUGUGAAAAACACAGGAAUUUCUUGCCUUUCUUUUGGUAUAAAGAUAACGACCCACAAAAUGAACUUAUCGAAUAUCGUAUGUGAGUGCACGUCUUUGGGAACAGUCCAUCCCCGGCAGUAGCUACAAAUGGACUAAAGAAAACCGCACAAUCUGGUGAAAAAACUUUAUGGAUCCGAUGUUUUAGAUUUCGUUUACAGCAAUUUCUAUGUUGAUGAUGGACUUAUGUCACUACCGACAGCUUCCGCAGCUAUCGAUCUCAAGUAAAGAACACAGGAAACAUUGAUGAAAGAAGGAAACUUGAAACAGGUCAUGAUGGACGAGUUAGAAAGUCAGAGGUCCGAGUCGCAAGAAAUGGUUCAACUUACACCCG